GAGGGCAUAGCUCAGUGGUAGAGCACAUGCCUAGCAUGCCCAAGGUUCUGGGUUCAAUCCUCAGUACCUCCA
rnacentral:tRNA from 1 species